rnacentral:rRNA from 1 species
UACGUAGGGGGCAAGCGUUGUCCGGAUUUACUGGGCGUAAAGAGCGUGUAGGCGGCCAAACAGGUCCGUUGUGAAAACUGGGAGCUCAACCUCCAGACGUCGACGGAAACCGUGUGGCUAGAGUCCGGAAGAGGAGAGUGGAAUCCGUGGUGUAGCGGUGAAAUGCGCAGAUAUCGGGAGGAACACCGUGUGGCGAAAGCGGCUCACUGGACCACAACUGACGCUGAUGCGC